GCUACAAACAUUUUUGGUUCCAGAAAUCAUAAAUGGAAAAAGUGAACUGUAUGAAUUGUGACCUAUUUAUGGGUCCCAUGUAUUUCAGCAAAUUCUUCUACUGUCUGCUGUUUUGGGGGAGCAAAUUUUUAUAUUUACAUUUCUGCAGCUUCAUAGCGAGAAUAGCCAUUUCAUUCUGGUCGUUAAAACUUACCUCUAAAAUCAGUAUUUCAUUCAGAAUCACAAGCUAUGCUCUGUGUAAGUUGUUAGAAAGGGAUGAUAUAGACAUCCAAUUUAGGAAUCCUGUUAUAUUGGCGUAAUAGGAUAAUUCUUUCAGAAAGGAUGACUUCAUUAUGUAGCCAUUCCAGAGAAUAAGCUAUAAUGUGUAGGAGAUUAUGCUCUUGAAGGAUCAGACAUUUAAGGAACAGGCUCAGGCCUGUUUGUGUAUAAAGGCAGCUUUUCCAGGUGUUUGUUAAGUGGAAUAGUAAUAAGGAACAGGUGGACAGCAGUUUAUAGGAUUUUGUUUUUAUUUUUAAGGAUUUUAUUUUAUUUUUUUUAUUUUUUCUUUUUUAGUUGUGCCUGCCACAUAUGAAAGUUCCUGGGCCAGGGAUUGAAUCCAAGCUGCAGCUGUGACCUACACCAUAGCUGCAGCAAUGCUGGAUCCUUAACCACCAUACCAGGCUAGGGCUUGAACCUACACUGCCACAGAGACAAUGCCAGAUCAUUAACCUACUGCACUGCAGCAGGAACUCCUUAAAGAUUUUAAUUGGGGUAGAUGAGUGAAAGACAUAAUCUUUCACUUGUGUGUGUGUGUGUGUAUAUAUAUAUGUAUGCAUGUAUUUCCAAAGAUUCCUGUCAGAGCCUGAUGUGGAAAAUCUUUCGCUUUGCCCAUAAAAAAAGUCUCAUACACUGUUAAGAUUCAUGCAGUGUUUUUGUAAUAUUUACACAGGACUUCAUGCUACUGGCACAAAUAAUGGGGGCCAUUACUGGAGUAAAUCAAAUGUUUAUAUUGUUUGGUAAGUAAAGAUAAAAACUAUGAGUUGUAUUUUAUUUACAUUAAGAUGAUGGUGUUGAUGGUCGUGGUGAAGGUCAACUUAUAUUUCUUUAAUAUCCAUUUUGGGGUAUUUAAUGUUAUAAUAAUAUAUUUGUCUAAAGCAAAGUUUCUGGACAUAUUUGUGUGGAUAGGUUUAAUGCAUACUAAAUUCAUUGAUUUGGUUAAUAGAUAUCAGUACUCUAACAAUAUGGCUCAAUUCAGGUACUCAGCACAGGAGAACACUUAGUCUAGUGCUUCUCAAACUUUAACACACAUACAAAUAUCUGGGGAAUCUAGUUAAAUUGCAGACUCUGGUUCAGUAGUUCUGAAGUGCAACUAAGUCUUAAUCUCUAAAAAGCUUCUAGGUGAUGCAGAUUCUACUGAUGUGUGACCUGCAGUUUAAGCAGUAAGGAUUUAGACCUUAGUGAAUUUGACAGACUUAAUUUUUGAGUUCAGUCUGAAUAUUUGUAUGGUUCUUGCCUAUUGUAAUAAGUACAAAAUGUGAAACUAAACUUUAUUAAUGUAAAUUUAUUAUAACUUGGAUUCUAUAUGUCAGAGACAUAGAAAUAUUACAAUGGAAAUAAUUUGAAUUUUGUAUCAUGUUGAAAACAAAACACAAUUCUAGUCAUUGACAGUUUAAUUCAUUAUGUAUACUAUGGAAAUCUAAUUUAACAGAAACUGUGAGGAAUAAGGUAAAAAUAUAAAUUAGUGAAAUGGGAAUCAAUGUAAUGUAAAAUAGUUAUCUUAAAAAUAAUCUGAGGAUCUAUAUUCUUUUUUAAUUUAGGAAACAACAUCAAGAUUUAUAAUGAAUCAGCUAGCAGCAAAGAAUCCUUUCCUAAUGCAAGCCAUAAAAUGGUACCCACAGGUCAGGAGCAUACUCUCUCAGGGAAGAAAAUGUGCGAUAUGUGGAAAGUACUUUUUAACCACAUGGCUGGAAUGUGUUAAAUUUUUCCCUCCAUCUAAGGUAAAUGGUGCUUUUUGUGUGAAUAUGAGCAUAUGACCUCCCCUCAUUCUUUGUCUGUAUCUAAGUCAACCAAUACUAAUUACAUUUAUAUCUAAGAAUUGACUUCUAUGAUGAUAUAAUGAGUUUUUCCCAUAUUUUUAAGAUAUAUUUUAAACAUAACAUUGUGUAAGCUUAAGGGUACAACAUGUUAGUUUGAUACAUUUAUAAGUGCAAAAUGAUUACCACCACAGUUUGAGCUACUAUCUCCAUCUUGUCACAGUUAUCACUGCUUUUUUUUUUCUGAUGAUAACAUUUAAGAUCUACUUUCUUAGUGACAUUAAAAUAUAUGAUACAGUAUGAUUAGCUGUAAUCACCAUGCUGUACAUUAGAUCUCCAAACUUGUUAACAUUAUAACUGGGAGUUUGUAUGCUUUGACUGACAUCUCUUCAUUUCCAUCACUCCCCAACCUCAGGUAACUCCCACUUUAGUGUUUCUGUAAGUUUGUCUCUCUAGAUUCCACAUAUAAGAAUUAUUAUGUAGGGUUGUCUUUCUCUCUAGGUUACCCUUUAAUUUUGUUGAGUUUGUUUUGAUGUUUAGAAGCUCUGUAAUUUGAUUUAAUCCCACUUGUUUAUGUUUGCUUCUUUUGCCAGUACUUUUGCUGUCAUAUCCAGGAAAUCAUCUCUGAGACCAAGGCCAAGGAAUUUUUUUUCUCCUAUGUUUUCUUCUAGGAGUUUUGUGGUCUCAGUCCUUAAAUUUUAGUAUUUAAUCCAUUUCAAGUUCGUAUUUGUGAGUGUUGUAAGAUAGAGGUCCAAUUUAAUUCUCCCGCAUGUAGUUAUCCAGUUUUCACAACACCAUUUAUUGAAGAGACUAUCCUUUUUUCAUUGUAUAUUUUUGUCUUCCUUGUCAAAUAUUAGUUGACCUUAAAUGCAAGGGUUUAUUUCCAGGCUCUCAAUUUUGUUACAUGUGUCUAUGUGUCUAUUUUUAUGCCAGUACUGUUCUUUUUUGAUAACUAUAGCUUUGUAGUUUAAAAUCAGAAAAUGUGAUGUGUCCAACUUUGUUCUUCUCUUUCAGGAUUGCUUUGGCUAUUUGGGGUCCUUUGUGGCCUCUCAUACAUUUUUGGUAUUGUAUUUUCUGUUUCUGAAAGUAUAAAAUUCAUUGGAAAUUUUGAAAAAUAUCAUUGGAAUUUUGAUAGGGAUUGAAUUGACUCUAUAGAUAGCUUUUGAUAAUAUGGGCAUUUUGACAAUAUUAAUUCUUCCAAUCCAUUAACAUGGAAUAUUUUUCCAUUUGUUUGUGUCUUCUUCAGUUUCUUUCAUCCAAAUCUUGAAGUUUCCCAUGCAUAGAUCUUUCAUCUCUCUUGUUAGAUAUAUUCCAAGAACUUUAUUGUUUUUGAUGCUAUUGUGAUUGGGAUUUUCUUUAUUUUUCAUAUAUUUUGUUAUUAGUGUGUAGAAAUGAAGCUGUUUUCUGCAUGUUGAUUUUGUAUCCUGCAACCUUACUGAAUUUGGUCAUUAAUAUAUUUCAUCAAAUGUAUUAUAGAGAAAAAUCUGACAGAGCUGUUGCCAAUGAGGGCUAAUGUCAAGGUGAAAUUUAAAAGUAAGAAUCAUGGUUCAGCAUAUGCAAAUAAAUCAACAUCAUACACCACACUAACAAAAAAAAAAGUCAAAAAUCAUAUGAUCAUCUCAAUAGACCAGAAAAAGCAUUUGACAAAGUCCAACAUCCAUUCAUGAUCAAGACCCUCGCCAAAGUGAAUAUAGAGGGAACAUUCCUGAAUAUAAUCAAAGCCAUUUAUGAUAAACCCACAGCAAAUAUAAUCCUCAAUGGGGAAAAACUGAAAGCCUUCUCACUCAAAUCUGGAACAA
rnacentral:lncRNA from 1 species